GCUUGCUAUCUGCAUCUUUCAAGAAGCACCGAAUCCGCUUCAGUUCAGUUUGCAACUGCUCAACUCCCUGCCGCACGCCAUAAAGUGAGCUUGCUUCACGAACAACGGCAUCAGCAAUUCUUUCAAUGGCAAAGGAACAAGAGCAAGAUACUACGCUUUGGAGCAGAGCAAACCAAAAAUUAAAAGUGAAAAAGCAAUUAGCUUCCUCUUAUUUUUUGCUUAAAAAAAUGGAAGGCAUGCAACUUUUUUUCUUUCCUUUUUUCCUAUUCUUUAGAGAAUAGCUUGCAUUUUUGCUUAAAUACCAGUUGGUCUUUGCAAUUUUGGUCUUUUAAUUGUAUUUUCUGGUGAACUGAUUGAAUUAAGGAACAUGCAUUGUAUAUUAUUUAUACUUGUUAUAUAUUUGUAAUUUGAUUUGUUUUA